rnacentral:rRNA from 1 species
UGGGGAAUAUUGCACAAUGGGCGCAAGCCUGAUGCAGCCAUGCCGCGUGUAUGAAGAAGGCCUUCGGGUUGUAAAGUACUUUCAGCGGGGAGGAAGGGAGUAAAGUUAAUACCUUUGCUCAUUGACGUUACCUGCAGAAGAAGCACCGGCUAACUCCGUGCCAGCAGCCGCGGUAAUACGGAGGGUGCAAGCGUUAAUCGGAAUUACUGGGCGUAAAGCGCACGCAGGCGGUUUGUUAAGUCAGAUGUGAAAUCCCCGGGCUCAACCUGGGAACUGCAUCUGAGACUGGCAAGCUUGAGUAUCGUAGAGGGGGGUAGAAGUCCAGGUGUAGCGGUGAAAUGCGUAGAGAUCUGGAGGAAUACCGGUGGCGAAGGCGGCCCCCUGGACGAAGACUGACGCUCAGGUGCGAAAGCGUGGGGAGCAAACAGG